rnacentral:rRNA from 1 species
AUUGAACGCUGGCGGCAGGCCUAACACAUGCAAGUAGAGCGGAGAGGAGGACGGGUGAGUAAGGCCUAUGUAUAGGCCUGGUACUGGGGGCGAAAGACAGGAAACAGACGCUAAUACCGCAUCCUAUCAGAAGAGGCUGAGUCGAAUUAGCUAGUUGGUGGGGUAAAGGCCUACCAAGGCGACGAUCCGUAACUGGUCUGAGAGGAUGAUCAGUCACACUGGAACUGAGACACGGUCCAGACUCCUACGGGAGGCAGCAGUGGGGAAUAUUGGACAAUGGGCGAAAGCCUGAUCCAGCCAUGCCGCGUGUGUGAAGAAGGUCUUCGGAUUGUAAAGCACUUUAAGUUGGGAGGCGUUACCAACAGAAUAAGCACCGGCUAACUUCGUGCCAGCAGCCGCGGUAAUUC